GUGUUUGCUUCAGCAGCACGUAUACUAAAAUUGGAACCAUACAGAGAAGAUUAGCAUGGCCUCUGCACAAAGAUGACAUGCAAAUUUGUGAAGCAUUCCAUAUUAAA
ensembl:snRNA U6 U6 spliceosomal RNA